AUAUACUUUAUUUUAUAUGAUACGUCAUAAAAUGUAAUAAUAUCUGAUUUAGAGACAUUUUUGGAAUUUUUGCCACGUUUUGGCGAUUUUGCACCACUGUGCGGCGGUGUUGCGUAAGGAGGCGGGAUUCGCUUAUGGGUGGUGCAGUAGGGAUAUAUGCGCUCCUCUCGCUGUUUUAAUCUUUCUCUUUCUAAUUCGAGUAUAUUCCUUUACUCUUCCUGCCAUAGUAAAGAUUUUGAUAUUCAUUAAAAUAUAAUACAUUUUACAAGAUUGUUUUGAUCUUAACAUUAUAGGAAGAAACAUGUUUUUCAAUAUUAAUACAGAUUACUGAAUUUAAACGAAUGCUAAAUAAAAGUUUGAAUUCGCAUCUUGGACUGACCGGCGUGGAGGAAAUGCGAUAUUACAGUAUUUAAUGAAUUAACAUAAAAUUCGGAUUAUUAUAAUGUAUGUAUAAGGAAUUUCGAUCAUCUUCGCGGAGCCGAUAAGGAACGUUCUAGAGUGGUCAAAAUUAUCGGACCACACGAAUGAUGUUUCGGGUUUACAUCCGGCGAUACUCAGAACCAAAGACGACACGUGAUUUUGAGCCGUGGGACCACGCUGAUUUCGAGGAAGGAAUUUAUUACACUAACAAUCGGGAUUAUGUCUGGAAAAGAUAGACUAUCUCGAAAUAUCAAGGAUCGUUUUUGCGUUCAAUCAUGGGAGGUCCAGAAUGUAAAACAAUCCAUCGAUGUUCAUGGUUUCCGUUUAUACCUCUAACCAAGGUCAAAGGUACAACGGAUCAAGAUGAUGGGGGUCAGACCCAUCAAAAAGAGGACAGAAGGGGGGGGGGGGGGGAGACAACAUGACUUUCACCUUGACAAUCGACGAUGACUGCAUUAACAAUGCAAUCCCAAAAUGAUGGGAAUAAUUUGUGUGAGGGUGGAAGGGACAGUUGACAGUACCCAGCAUUAACAAAUGCCUCAGUUAAUACAGAGGACGAUUCAGUGAUGGGGGGGGGAUACAUGAUGAAUGUGUAAAAAUUUCUGUCCGAAACGUAACACUAAUCUCAGGUUUUAAAGUUUGGGGGGGGAUGUUUUCUCAGUGCUUUAUAAACCGAAGCGUUUUCGUUUCUACGACUCAUUAUAUUCUUCCAUUCAAUAUGGCUACCAUUCCCCGCUUGCUACCAACUCCUCGCAUUCAAGGCAAUCGCUGAAUAUCAUUUCGAAAUUAUACCGUUCUUUGAAUUGGCAAAAAGGGAGGAGGCGGUGGUGCUGCCCACGAAUUGUCAAGAGCGGCAGUAGCGGCGCCGCGAAUACAAAAGGCGUUGAAACGCAUCGUGGACGGAGGUCGAUUUAUUCGACCUUCGUUAUCUAUUCUGGGAGGAAAUCGAUCCAGAUUUUUGGUAGCCGCAAAGAUCGAAAGUUUUGAAAUAUUUU